UGUCUUCAGAACUUGUCAAGGAGACAGGCAAAAGAAAAGUACAAACUUACAACCUGGCAUCAUAAUCUGAAGUUACCUGAUCAUAGAGCUAUAAAAUUAGCUGCUUAAUUAUAUAUUCAGAAAAGUCUGAACUUUGUAUUGAAAUUAACCCUGUGAAGUAACCAGGGAUCCAGGUGCAUACAUAAUACAAGACUCCUGGUUUGUUAUUUUCUAAAUGUUAUUUAAAAAAUGGGAAAACCUACAAAUGUUAUUCUAAAUAAGAUAAAAAUGAUGAAAGAAGAAAAAAAGCCACAAUAGGGCAGCUAACAAGAUUCCUAGAGAGAACCCAAGUAAUUUCUAAGUGAAGCUGCUCAAGUCAGAUUUUUCUGCCAGUUCAAUUUGUCUUUUUU